GAUGAACGCUGGCGGCGUGCCUAAUACAUGCGAGUCGAGCGAACAGAUAAGGAGCUUGCUCCUUUGACGUUAGCGGCGGACGGGUGAGUAACACGUGGGUAACCUACCUAUAAGACUGGAAUAACUCCGGGAAACCAGGGCUAAUGCUGGAUAACAUGUUGAACCGCAUGGUUCUACAGUGAAAGGCGGCUUUGCUGUCACUUAUAGAUGGACCCGCGCCGUAUUAGCUAGUUGGUGAGGUAACGGCUCACCAAGGCAACGAUACGUAGCCGACCUGAGAGGGUGAUCGGCCACACUGGAACUGAGACACGGUCCAGACUCCUACGGGAGGCAGCAGUAGGGAAUCUUCCGCAAUGGGCGAAAGCCUGACGGAGCAACGCCGCGUGAGUGAUGAAGGUCUUCGGAUCGUAAAACUCUGUUAUUAGGGAAGAACAAAUGCGUAAGUAACUGUGCGCGUCUUGACGGUACCUAAUCAGAAAGCCACGGCUAACUACGUG
rnacentral:rRNA from 1 species